GCUCCAAUGGCGUGGUGGUUGGAGCGUCCGCCUUGGAUGCGGGAUGUUGCGGGUUCGAAUCCUGGCUGAGUCA